UGGUAACCGACGGCCCUCUUCACUUCAGGUCGACAAUAGUCUUCAGAACUGCCUCCCAGACUGGACCACCAAUUUUAAAGGGGGAUGAGAUGGGGGUGGAGGCGUUGAAAUCGAAGUGUAGAACACUGAAUUUGGACUCGUUAUCACCCUUUCCCCCCCUGUCCCCUCCCUCUCCCUCUCCUUCCCCAUCUUCAUUCCUUUCUCGGAUCCCUGGGAAAAUCGACCAGUUUUUGCAGCACGGAACCCAAUGGCUUUCUGAGCUCGGUUUUACGCCCAGGGAUAUCCGGCGAUUUGGCAUUUCUUAACUUGGAGAGUGAAAUUGUAGGGUGGGGGAUGGGAGGGAGGUCGACAAGGCGGGAACAGGACAAGGAGAGAUGAGAAGCUCUGCUACUUGGCCAAGUGGAUUUAUACCUCCUCGAAGAAUACCUAGCAUUUCAUAUCCGUGCGACUCAUCAGCUCCGUUACGCCUUAAACGCAUCCUUUGACUAAAAUGAAUUGUGAAGUUACUUCAAUUCACGACUUGGGAGGGAAUGGGGGAGGAGGUUGCAUGGCAGUGGCAGUGAGUUACUUCACGAUUUACCAUCCCAAUUUCUGUACUUGAAAACUUUGUAGGGUACCAAGUUUCCAUCUUACUUUCCUGCCACCAAGUCCAAACCAUGUAGCUGCCCACAAAGUGCCUCUAUCUGUGUGCUGGGGACAACUCAUACUAGCUGUCAGAAUUGAUGGCUAAAUUUUUAACAUGAUCAUUUACAUUUCAGAAAUGGGCAAGUACAAAUCAAGGCUUGA